UACGUAGGGUGCAAGCGUUGUCCGGAAUUAUUGGGCGUAAAGAGCUCGUAGGCGGUCUGUCGCGUCUGCUGUGAAAACUCAGGGCUUAACCCUGAGCUUGCAGUGGGUACGGGCAGACUAGAGUGCGGUAGGGGAGACUGGAAUUCCUGGUGUAGCGGUGAAAUGCGCAGAUAUCAGGAGGAACACCGGUGGCGAAGGCGGCGACCUGGGUAGAUACUGACGCUGAGGCGCGAAAGCGUGGGGAGCAAACAGG
rnacentral:rRNA from 1 species